CAACAAACACAAACCUGGAAAUAACACACAAUAGCAACAAAGCAUUCUAGUGUUAAUAACAUCAACCCAGAAACGUAAACAUGAACUUGUGUGGUAGUUCAGACUUCAGAAAUGAACAUACAACUUCAGAAAUUAAAAUGUGAUAGUUUAGACUUCAGACUUCAAACUGAAAAAUGAAAAUUAUUCAAUAAACUAAUAAAACUCAGAAAUUUUAGUCUUCCUUCAACAGAUAUCCAUCUUCAUCAAUUCAACAGCAUUCAUCACUCAUCAAAAGUUGAUAUCUACCAAAAUAAUCAAUGAAGUAUUAUGUAUCAGCAACAAUAAGCAACAAUCCAUAUAUGAUGCAUAAACAUUUACGGAGGAGCAGUUGCCAGUUAGAACACAAACCUUGAACUAGUCGUCAAGGUUUGUAACAGUUACAUGAUCAUCUCCAUCCCCUUGCAGUUGCUAAGUUUUACCUUCUCCAUCUGUUAUACAGUUAGAAUUACUGUAGAAGUAUAUAAACAACAGUCGAGAUAGCAAUGUAAUGACUAACUUACCAGAUGCAUCUUCAACUGUCAAAUCCUCCAUCGCCAUUAUUUAGAACACACGUUCGAGUUGUUUCAUUUCUGUUUCAUCUAGAACUAUAGAUUACAUGAACUUCCGAAAUCAGAAUAUAAACUGAAAAAAACUUUUGAAGAAACAUAAUUACGUCAUUAAUAAUGAUACCUGCAUGCAUAUUAUUUUGCAUCCAGCU
rnacentral:lncRNA from 1 species